GUAUUCGAAAAAUUUGAUAUUCGCACACCCCUAGUGUAGUUCAGACAUUGUGCCGGGGACCGCAUAAUACUGCCGCACGGGUUGCCGACCCCCGACUUAUAGCAACAAGCUAAUAAGCUUGUCAAGUUACUGAACAGGGUUACUAAAUAUCUUAUCCAACUUGCAACUCCAGAACAUCAUGUCAGGUGUACAAUAUUUGAGUAUUCCUGGAUAUUUACGGUUCCAUAUAAUUACUUUGUAAGGAAAAAAAGAUGUUGACAGGUGUUAUGGUGAUUGGCAUCCAUUUGCUCAGGAGAGAUCAGUGUUUCAUACAGGCUUGUUGCUGUGGCAUCUCUGAAUAAUAUUGUAGUGUAUAUGAGAUGGAGCACAAGCAAGGCACACACACAAAACUACACUUCCAAAAAAAUUUUGUUGGAAGUGUAAAACUGUCUGCGUGUUCUCGUUAUAUGCCUUGCAGUAUUAUCCAAAGGAGACCACUACUUCUGCACAUUUGUGACGAGAAAGCAGUGUUAGAGCAAAUUUCAGGCACGAUGUCCUCUUGUUUAUAAAUGUUCGUUUUUAUUUUUCUAUUCUGAUUAUUUAAGUUUUUCUUUGAACAGCAUAACAGCUUUUGAACAGCAUAACAGCAGUCUCCUUCAAGGGGCCCUGCAACAGUUUUUCAAGCAAUUGUUGAAUGACUUCACAAGCAGGGAGAGUUGGUACAAAUUUAUAUUCAUAGAAGGCACAAGAAGAACCGCAACACAGAGAAACAAAGGGAACAGGACAGUUCCUACUAGCGCGUCGUCCUGUUCUCUUCGUUUCUCUGUGUUGUGGUUUUUUUCGUGCCUUCUACAGACAUGGCUUUCUAGCUACCCUUGAAAAUUAAUUGUAAAUUCUGGGCCGCGUGCUGCGCUAUAUCGUUUGGCUCACAUGUUCUCGGGUCCCUUGACUACCGAUCGGCAGCAUUUUCUGACCAUGCUCAGAAAUUGUUGCAGGGCCCCCUUACACUGCUUACUUGAUUGGCUAACCACAUUCAGGCAAACACUUAAAAAUACCUUGAGUGUUUUUGCCAGGAGAGUGAAUUUGCGUACUCAUGCUGAAAGCUUUUGCUGCUGAAACAGCUUUUGUAGUUUAUUAACUUGCAAUAUCCCAGUGUCUUCAAAGGAGUGCGACAUCUCGUCGGACGCAUUUCUGUGCAAUAUCCCUGCAUCUUGAACAAUCAACGUGCGGUGUCUGGAGGAGUGAUUUGCACCUAUUGUGCAUGUUGAGGAAAGUAUGUUGCCGACAUCUGUAGAGGCCAAGGCAGCUACUGUCUGAAAGCGAAAAAAACAGGAUGUCAUUAGUAUAGGAAGCAAAAAAAUAAAUGUACAAAUAGCCUUAAUGAACUGUUCAGGACCCUAAAUUAAUAUUUACGAGGAAGCAAACAUGCAAAAACAUCGCGACUGAUCAGACAGAAAACAGGAUGAGCUGCUGAAACCUCACUUUGGAGCAGCAUAACAACCUUCUGAAGCAAUUACUCAGCACACAUUUUCUAAUGGAAAUAUUUGUCUUUAAGCUGCAGCAUUUGUACCGCAUGUUUAACAAAAUCAAUUUUUGCACAAAUACCAUGCACAUUUACUUAGAAUAUCCACUUUACCUCUUUCCGAGUGCUUGGUGGCAAACCGGAUAUUUAUAUUCUGGUUAACCUUCCUGUGUUUCACUUAGCCUACAGAACAAUAGCUGCAAAUAAUAGCCCAGGGGAUUAAAUGAAGGUACUGCUCUUCGUUUUUCUGUGCAAAGUACUAAGUUUCUUUAUGAUGCUUUAGUUACAGUACAGGAAGCACAAGCUGUGUAAAUUUUCCAUGCCUUGUGUUUACAAUCCAGAACAACCUGCAUGGUGAAGUGCCUGCUGCUGUGCUUCAUAGGGAGACAUAAUAAAGGGGUUGCUGUGGUUCUUGGGUGGUUAAUAAAAUACAGGGUUUAAUAACUUGUCCCUUGUGCACGAAAUCAAGUGCUCCAUGAAAUUUUCGGUAAUGGCAGUCUUCAAACCCGAAUUGUUGCUGCAGUCGAGAAACAGAACAGAGGUACCGGGAUGCUGGUACACCAUGCUUUCUUUGCAAAAUCCCACAGUCCACUGCAGUGCAUGGAAUUGUUGAUAGUCUAUGAUGGUAUGCUAAGACUUGACUUAAGAAUUAAGCAUGUUGCAUGAACACUUAUUUAGUCCCUUGCUUUAUGUUUUGAUAUAUACACAUUUCUCAUUUAUCUUCCAUGGCCUGUAAUUCACCUUGGAUUAAUCACCUUGUUUUGCAGCACACACAAGGGCAGAGGUCCCAGACAAUGCUGUUUGUCAGCAUGGAUGAUUUCAUUAAUGUGAGAGACGAUUCCGGCAGUUUAGAGAAGUGCAGUUGCAGAGGCUGUGAUAAAGAAGUGUACGAGAGGAAAGUGCGACGGUGUGAUGUUGAAAGUGCAAGAAGUGGUGACAUCUACUUGACAGCAGCCCUUGCAGAGGCUGUGAUAAAAGAGUGUACGAGAGGACAGUGCGACGGUGUGAUGUUGAAAGUGCAAGAAGUGGUGAAAUCUACAUGACAGUAACCCUGUGCAGCAGACACGUGCAUGCGACAAAAGAGGACUACGUUGGCAGGAGGUGGCACAAACAAGUAGAUGAAGGAGAGAAGAGAUGCAGCCAAUGACAAGGUUGUCAGAUUCUAGACUGAAACACGAGAAUGCUGGCAGCGUCAGAGACCCCAAACAUUCUCGGAAGAACCUAGUGCACAUGGGUUUCAGGCGCUCUUGCUGUUCCAGCCACUGGUCUUAGAAAUUCCCGAAUCUCUCUCUGGAGGAUGAACUUUGCCGUCAAACUUGGUGACAUGUGCAAUAGGACCACUAAGGGUUCCAGUCGAAAGCCACCGUGGUAGCUGCGUGGACAGAUCUUUUUGAUUUAACUCGGAGGCCGUCUGCCUGCUACAAUUAAAAGAUGCCGACUGUGACGUGUGUAGACUCAUCACCCUAUCCACAUCAAUAAAACUGGCUGAAAAGUGCUUUUGUCUGAACAUUAUAA